GAUUAGCCUGCGUCCGAUUAGCUAGUUGGUAGGGUAAAAGCCUACCAAGGCUUCGAUCGGUAGGUGGUCCGAGAGGACGAUCACCCACAAUGGAACUGAGACACGGUCCAUACUCCUACGGGAGGCAGCAGUGGGGAAUUUUGCGCAAUGGGCGAAAGCCUGACGCAGCGACACCGCGUGAACGAAGAAGCCUUUUGGGGUGUAAAGUUCUGUCGGCUGGGAAGAAAAAAAUGACGGUACCAGCAAAGGAAGCAUCGGCUAACUACGUGCCAGCAGCCGCGGUAAGACGUAGGAUGCAAGCGUUGUCCGGAUUUAUUGGGCGUAAAGAGUUCGUAGGCGGUUUGUUAAGUCUGACGUUAAAGAUCAGGGCUCAACCCUGGGAUUGCUUCGGAUACUGGCAGACUGGAGUGUGGUAGAGGUAAGUGGAAUUUCUGGUGUAGCGGUGAAAUGCGUAGAUAUCAGGAAGAACACCAGUGGCGUAGGCGACUUACUGGGCCAUAACUGACGCUGAGGAACGAAAGCCAGGGGAGCAAAUGGGAUUAGAUACCCCAGUAGUCCUGGCUGUAAACGAUGUCAACUAGCUGUNGG
rnacentral:rRNA from 1 species